ACGCUGGCGGCAGGCCUAACACAUGCAAGUCGAGCGGCAGCACGGGUACUUGUACCUGGUGGCGAGCGGCGGACGGGUGAGUAAUGCCUAGGAAUCUGCCUGGUAGUGGGGGAUAACGCUCGGAAACGGACGCUAAUACCGCAUACGUCCUACGGGAGAAAGCAGGGGACCUUCGGGCCUUGCGCUAUCAGAUGAGCCUAGGUCGGAUUAGCUAGUUGGUGGGGUAAUGGCUCACCAAGGCGACGAUCCGUAACUGGUCUGAGAGGAUGAUCAGUCACACUGGAACUGAGACACGGUCCAGACUCCUACGGGAGGCAGCAGUGGGGAAUAUUGGACAAUGGGCGAAAGCCUGAUCCAGCCAUGCCGCGUGUGUGAAGAAGGUCUUCGGAUUGUAAAGCACUUUAAGUUGGGAGGAAGGGCAGUUACCUAAUACGUAUCUGUUUUGACGUUACCGACAGAAUAAGCACCGGCUAACUCUGUGCCAGCAGCCGCGGUAAUACAGAGGGUGCAAGCGUUGAUCGGAAUUACUGGGCGUAAAGCGCGCGUAGGUGGUUUGUUAAGUUGAAUGUGAAAUCCCCGGGCUCAACCUGGGAACUGCAUGCAAAACUGGCAAGCUAGAGUAUGGUAGAGGGUGGUGGAAUUUCCUGUGUAGCGGUGAAAUGCGUAGAUAUAGGAAGGAACGCCAGUGGCGAAGGCGACCACCUGGACUGAUACUGACACUGAGGUGCGAAAGCGUGGGGAGCAAAC
rnacentral:rRNA from 1 species